rnacentral:tRNA from 7 species
AGGCACGUAGCUCAGGGGGAGAGCGCUUCCCUGACACGGAAGAGGUCGUUGGUUCAAAUCCAAUCGUGCCUACCA